rnacentral:RNase_P_RNA from 1 species
CGAUGGCAGAUGAUCGCUGGUGAGUCGUUAGGCUUGCCAGAGGAAAGUCCGAACACCACACGGCAACAUGCCGCGUAGAACACGCGGGCAGCAUUCGCGUAAGCGGGUGCUGACGGAAAGUGUCGCAGAAAAUAUACCGCCAGCGCUUUGGAAACAGAGUGCCGGCAAGGUUGAAAAGGCGAGGUAAGAGCUCACCGCUCGCGGAGCAAUUCGCGAGGCAGGAAAAACCCCAUGGGGUGCAAGACAAAACAGAGGGAGGGCAGCCGGUCCGUCGAUCCUCGGGUUUCGUCGCAUCACGGUUCCGCCCCCCAGCGGAAUCGGGCGGCUCACGCGAGUGAGCUGAGAUAAAUGAUCAUCCGCUUCGAGCAAUCGAGCGACUGAAUUCGGCUUAUCGCCAUCGAAAU